rnacentral:rRNA from 1 species
UGCNGUCGANCGGUAGCAGGAGGAAGCUUGCUUUCUUGCUGACGAGUGGCGGACGGGUGAGUAAUGCUUGGGAAUCUGGCUUAUGGAGGGGGAUAACCACGGGAAACUGUGGCUAAUACCGCGUAAUAUCUUAGGAUUAANNGNNGNGACUUUAGGGCCACCUGCCAUAAGAUGAGCCCAAGUGGGAUUAGGUAGUUGGUGGGGUAAAGGCCUACCAAGCCGACGAUCUCUAGCUGGUCUGAGAGGAUGACCAGCCACACUGGGACUGAGACACGGCCCANACUCCUACGGGAGGCAGCAGUGGGGAAUAUUGCGCAAUGGGGGGAACCCUGACGCAGCCAUGCCGCGUGAAUGAAGAAGGCCUUCGGGUUGUAAAGUUCUUUCGGUGAUGAGGAAGGUAUCGGAUUUAAUAGAUUUGGUAAUUGACGUUAAUCACAGAAGAAGCACCGGCUAACUCCGUGCCAGCAGCCGCGGUAAUACGGAGGGUGCGAGCGUUAAUCGGAAUAACUGGGCGUAAAGGGCACGCAGGCGGUGACUUAAGUGAGGUGUGAAAGCCCCGGGCUUAACCUGGGAAUUGCAUUUCAUACUGGGUCGCUAGAGUACUUUAGGGAGGGGUAGAAUUCCACGUGUAGCGGUGAAAUGCGUAGAGAUGUGGAGGAAUACCGAAGGCGAAGGCAGCCCCUUGGGAAUGUACUGACGCUCAUGUGCGAAAGCGUGGGGAGCAAACAGGAUUAGAUACCCUGGUAGUCCACGCUGUAAACGCUGUCGAUUUGGGGGUUGGGCUUUNAGNUUGGCGCCCGUAGCUAACGUGAUAAAUCGACCGCCUGGGGAGUACG